GCUAAUAAUUUAGUAAUUAAUUCAAUUGUAAAUUGUAAAUUAUUUGGAGAUGAAAGAGAUCAGGUUAUUUGUAAACUUAACUUGUUGCAAGCUUGUUGGGGUACUGGAAAAGGAUUUUAUGGAUUGAAUAUGCCACCUGUUGAGUAUACUCCUCAAAACCCGCUCUGCCGUUUUAAAGCUAUUACAUACAGUGUGAAACCAACAUCAUCAAGUAGAGAUGCACUUGUGGCAAUUAAUAUUAAUAAAAAAAUGGAUGAAAUAAG